AUGGCCUCACCACCCCAUCUCAACAAACACCUCAAACCAUUGUUCCAGCUCGUCGUAAACAACUUCCUUGUGUUCGUCGCCGCACCGGUGACAGUCAUCGUGGUCCUCCGUAAAGCCGCACAGCUCGGUCCCGAGGAGAUCCUCUCCCGGCUCCAUGGUUUGCGGCAGGUCCACGUUCUGCUGGCCAUCUUCCUACCGUUCGCUUUGGCCACCCUCUACCUGAUGAGUCGCCCUCGUAGCGUGUACCUCAUCGACUAUGCUUGCUGCCGGCCAAAAUCCAAUUGUCGCGUCUCCAUAGGCUCCUCCAUCGAGAACGUUCGCUUCUCGCCUUACCUCGAUGAUGGAGGUGUCGACUUCAUGACCCGCAUGCUCAAGCGCUCGGGCCUCGGUGACCAGACCUACCUCCAUCCUUCAUUCCACUAUAUCCCCCCACGAUGUUGCUUAAGCGAUGGUCGUGACGAGGCGGAGCAGGUCAUCUUUUCAGCUGUCGACGACUUGCUCGCCAGGACUGGCAUAAGUCCUGGAACUAUCGACAUACUCGUCACCAACUGCAGUGGAUUCAACCCGACCCCGAGCUUGGCUGACAUCGUCGUGAACAAGUACAAGCUCAGAACCGACAUCCGAAGCGUGCACAUAUCCGGGAUGGGGUGCAGCGCAGGGGUGAUUUCCCUAGAGGUCGUGAGAAACCUCCUGCAGGCGGCACCACGGGGCGCGCGCGCCCUCAUGGUGUCUACGGAGGGCACAUGUAUCGUCAACUACACCGGCAAGAACCGAGGGAUGCUGUUGCCGUACUCCCUGUUCCGCAUGGGCGCGGCCGCGGUGCUGCUGUCGACAUCCAAGUCCGUGGCCCGCUUCCGGCUCAUGCAUGUCGUGCGAACGCUCACCGCCACACAAGACAGAGCGUACUUGUGCAUUUCCAUGAAAGAGGACGAUGAGGGAGAAACGGGAGCAUACCUAUCCAAGGACCUUGUGUCAGUUGCCGGCGAAGCACUCAAGGCCAAUAUCGCGACAAUGGGGGCCCUUGUCCUCCCGCCCUCAGAGAAGAUUCUCUUUGCGAUCUCAUUCAUUGCACGGGAGGUGCUGAGAAGCAAGAUCAAGCUAUAUGUCCCGGAUUUCCGGACGGCCUUCCAACACUUCUGCAUCCAUUCUGGUGGUCGGGCAGUGAUCGACGCGGUGCAAAAUAGCUUAAGCUUAUCAGACAGGGAUGUUGAGGCAUCACGGAUGACGCUUCACCGGUUCGGGAACACAUCUAGCAGUUCAUUGUGGUAUGAACUUGCAUACAUCGAGGCCAAGAGGCGGAUGCGGAAGGGCGGCCGGGUGUGGAUGAUCGGGUUCGGCUCUGGGUUCAAGUGCAACAGCGCCGUGUGGCAGUGCAUGAGGCCGGACAGCAACACCACUGUUGCCACGCCAUGGGCUGAUUCUAUUCAUCUGUAUCCUCUCAACAACAUCUCGGAGGAAGUGGGCUAA
rnacentral:rRNA from 1 species